rnacentral:hammerhead_ribozyme from 1 species
AUUUAGCUGAGGAGUCCCACAAUAGGACGAAACGGCCGUCCAGU